rnacentral:rRNA from 1 species
CCUACGGGUGGCAGCAGUGAGGAAUAUUGGUCAAUGGGCGUAAGCCUGAACCAGCCAAGUCGCGUGAGGGAUGAAGGUUCUAUGGAUCGUAAACCUCUUUUAUAAGGGAAUAAAGUGUGGGACGUGUCCUAUUUUGUAUGUACCUUAUGAAUAAGGAUCGGCUAACUCCGUGCCAGCAGCCGCGGUAAUACGGAGGAUCCGAGCUUUAUCCGGAUUUAUUGGGUUUAAAGGGUGCGUAGGCGGGCUUUUAAGUCAGCGGUGAAAGUCUGUGGCUCAACCCCAGAAUUGCCGUUGAAACUGGGGGUCUAGAUUAUGUGUGAGGCAUGCGGAAUGCGUGGGGUAGCGGUGAAAUGCAUAGAGAUCACGCAGAACCCCGAUUGCGAAGGCAGCCUACCAAGCCAUGACUGACGCUGAUGCACGAAAGCGUGGGGAUCAAACAGGAUUAGAUACCCUAGUAGUC